rnacentral:misc_RNA from 1 species
UCCCCGUUGCCGAGGCAGUCUGGUUAGAAAAAUCCAACUAACCACAAGGGUUGCGCUCGUUGAGGGACUUAACCCAACAUCUCACGACACGAGCUGACGACGGCCAUGCAACACCUGUCACCGAGUUCCUUACGGCACAGUUUCCUUUCGGAAGCCUUCUCGGGAUGUCAAACCCUGGUAAGGUUCUUCGCUUACCAUCGAAUUAAACAACACGCUCCACCGCUUGUGCGGGUCCCCGUCAAUUCCUUUGAGUUUUAAGCUUGCGCUCGUACUACUCAGGCGGGAUGCUUAACGCGUUAGCUUCGCUACGGAAGGGGUCGAUACCUCCCACAGCUAGCAUCCAUAGUUUACGGCGUGGACUAC